rnacentral:rRNA from 1 species
UACGAAGGGGGCUAGCGUUGUUCGGAUUUACUGGGCGUAAAGCGCACGUAAGCGGAUCGAUCAGUCAGGGGUGAAAUCCCAGGGCUCAACCCUGGAACUGCCUUUGAUACUGUCGAUCUGGAGUAUGGAAGAGGUGAGUGGAAUUCCUGGUGUAGCGGUGAAAUGCGCAGAUAUCAGGAGGAACACCCGUGGCGAAAGCGGCUCUCUGGGACGGUACUGACGCUGAGACGCGAAAGCGUGGGGAGCAAACAGG